AUGACGUUCUCCUCUGCCAGAAGGCCCUGUCAGCUACAUAAAGAAGGGAGGUUUUCUCCACACUGUCAGAGCUUUUUCUGUGGAAGAGAAAGUUGUGUCUUUGGUGACCCUUGUGCCCAUGAUGGUGAUGAAGACCUGAAGGAGGGGGCUGCUCAGGAGCGUCUGGCGCUUCUGGUUUCGGAUGCUCUGAAAGAUGACCGUUCCCAAGAUGCUGGUGCCCGUGAUGGUGAUGGUGAUGGCGAUGGUGAUGGUGAUCAUGAUGGUGAUGAGGCUGUGGAGCCUCAGUUGUUUUUUCCUCAGUAGCCAAAUAUACAUUUUUACAAAAGUCUUAAUGGCUUCUUCUACAUAUGGGAAAGUUAAGAAGGAAUAAGGCAAACCAAGAUGAUAUACAAGGAGGCCGCAUCUAAAAUAAUAAUAAUAAUAAUACAAUGUCAUGACAACAUUUGUUCUAUCAUAAUUCUACUUAUAUACUAUCUGAGACAGGGAUUAUAGGUUUAACAGGCUUAUAAUAACUAAGACCCUUUCAUACCUUCAGUAAAUUUCCUUGAAUGGGGUCUUAAGUUCCUUGGCACUAUAUACCUGGUCAGGUCCUGACAAAACUAUUGUGAGUCUUAACACGAGCAUUUUUGAAAUGUGAAAUAGAUAUGUCACAAUAAAUAAUGUAAAAACUGUGUAGUAUAAUUAUUA
rnacentral:lncRNA from 1 species